rnacentral:rRNA from 1 species
ACAGGGAUUGCCCUAGUAACGGCGAGUGAAGCGGCAACAGCUCAAAUUUGAAAUCUGGCUCUUUUAGAGUCCGAGUUGUAAUUUGCAGAGGGCGCUUUGGCGUUGGCAGCGGUCCAAGUUCCUUGGAACAGGACGUCACAGAGGGUGAGAAUCCCGUACGUGGUCGCUAACCUUCGCCGUGUAAAGCCCCUUCGACGAGUCGAGUUGUUUGGGAAUGCAGCUCUAAAUGGGAGGUAAAUUUCUUCUAAAGCUAAAUACUGGCCAGAGACCGAUAGCGCACAAGUAGAGUGAUCGAAAGAUGAAAAGCACUUUGGAAAGAGAGUCAAAUAGCACGUGAAAUUGUUGAAAGGGAAGCGCUUGCAGCCAGACUUGCCUGUAGUUGCUCAUCCGGGCUUUUGCCCGGUGCACUCUUCUGCGGGCAGGCCAGCAUCAGUUUGGGCGGUUGGAUAAAGGUCUCUGUCAUGUACCUCUCUUCGGGGAGGCCUUAUAGGGGAGACGACAUGCAACCAGCCUGGACUGAGGUCCGCGCAUUUUUGCUAGGAUGCUGGCGUAAUGGCUGUAAGCGGCCCGUCUUGAAACACGGACCAAGGAGUCUAACAUCUAUGCGAGUGUUUGGGUGUCAAGCCCGAGCGCGCAAUGAAAGUGAACGGAGGUGGGACCCCAUUAGGGUGCACCAUCGACCGAUCCUGAAGUCUUCGGAUGGAUUUGAGUAAGAGCAUGGCUGUUGGGACCCGAAAGAUGGUGAACUAUGCUUGAAUAGGGUGAAGCCAGAGGAAACUCUGGUGGAGGCUCGCAGCGGUUCUGACGUGCAAAUCGAUCGUCAAAUUUGGGCAUAGGGGCGAAAGACUAA